rnacentral:rRNA from 1 species
GAUGAACGCUGGCGGCGUGCCUAAUACAUGCAAGUCGAGCGAACAGACGAGGAGCUUGCUCCUCUGACGUUAGCGGCGGACGGGUGAGUAACACGUGGAUAACCUACCUAUAAGACUGGGAUAACUUCGGGAAACCGGAGCUAAUACCGGAUAAUAUAUUGAACCGCAUGGUUCAAUAGUGAAAGACGGUUUUGCUGUCACUUAUAGAUGGAUCCGCGCCGCAUUAGCUAGUUGGUAAGGUAACGGCUUACCAAGGCAACGAUGCGUAGCCGACCUGAGAGGGUGAUCGGCCACACUGGAACUGAGACACGGUCCAGACUCCUACGGGAGGCAGCAGUAGGGAAUGGUCCGCAAUGGGCGAAAGCCUGACGGAGCAACGCCGCGUGAGUGAUGAAGGUCUUCGGAUCGUAAAACUCUGUUAUUAGGGAAGAACAAAUGUGUAAGUAACUAUGCACGUCUUGACGGUACCUAAUCAGAAAGCCACGGCUAACUACGUG